AUAUAUGGCGCAUCAUUCCAUAUACUUUUGACUUUAUACGUUGACACUUUGGAUUUCAUUGGGAACCCCCUAUUGGUAUUGUGUGCAAUUUCGGAAUGGACGGAAGGUCUGCUACUGCUUGUGUUCUGGUCAUGCUUGUGCUGUUAGGAAGCACCACAUCUGCAGAUAGUUGUUUCAUUGAUCGUUUUGUGCUACCGUUUUGCAACGACAAUACAUGCAAGUUUGAAUGUUGGCUUGAGUGGACUGGCGAGUUGAUCCACCAGCAUUGGUGUGAUGGGAAGGUCUUUGGCAAGUGCAACUGCAAGAUUUGUUUAUAGAACUUAGUGGAUAUGCUAAGUUCACUUCAUGUUAUCAAUAAAGAAUUCACUCGGUUCAAAAAAUCAUUGUUUUGUGCCUUUGAAUCACUUAUUUAUGCUUCAGACUGUAUGCUUGAGAGAGCGGUAUGGUGUACGCAAUCUUCUCGUCUCAUGGACACACUACUUAA